UACGAAGGGGGCUAGCGUUGCUCGGAAUCACUGGGCGUAAAGGGUGCGUAGGCGGUCGGGUAAGUCUGAUGUGAAAUCUCCAAGCUCAACUUGGAAAUGGCAUCGGAUACUAUUCGGCUCGAGGAAUGGAGGGGAGACUGGAAUACUUGGUGUAGCAGUGAAAUGCGUAGAUAUCAAGUGGAACACCAGUGGCGAAGGCGAGUCUCUGGACUGAUACUGACACUGAGGUGCGAAAGCGUGGGGAGCAAACAGG
rnacentral:rRNA from 1 species